AGCAGAAAUUUCACGGAUAGUAAGCAGACCUCGAUCUAUUAUACAGAGCAUAAUUGAUAGGCAUGGUCUACGAAAAAGACUGGAAAAUAACUCGGGAAGUGGAAAAAUGAAUCAGUAUACUGGCCGAAUUAUUAUUAGAAUGAUAAGAUAAAAUGGAAAAUGAGAAAAAAAUGGAUAUGAAAGAUAAUUUCAUUUUCAUGUAUGAUGACGAUGCAUACCAUACCAUACCAUAUCAGAAUGUGGAUACCGGCAUAUUUAAAAUCUCUUGAUAUCAACUCCAUAAAAAAUGGAAAUUUCCUCACAAGAAAGUUAAGGGAUGCUCUUUUGGAGAAGUGGAACCAGAUCCAGCCACGCAUAACAUCGAAUUUUGCUAAUUUAAUAUCUAAAAGAAUUGCGGAUACUCUAGGAAAUAUUAAUUGUCUGUUUACAUUGACUUUUCAUUAUUAAAUUCACUUAAAUUGCAUUUCUUUAUAAAUAGUUAAAAAUUUAAGAAUUGUACGAAUAAAUAUUGCGUACAUAUU